GUGGUUAUUAUGUGAUAUGAUUUAUGAGACAAAUUGUUGAAGAAGUUGAAAUUAUCGAGAGAGAUUCACUACGAUCUAUAUUCACACAAGCGGAGUAUUCUCGAGAAGAAAUUGAUGAGGUGCGAUCGGAGUUGGCAGAAUGUAUACAAGAUUAUAUUUAUGAGUAGAUACACAGUGGUAGGUGUUUUGUCCCAGUCUCAAGCCGUCAAUCCAUUU